GUGGUUGAGCUGAAGGCUUUCAACAAGUUUGAGAACACAUCUGACGCUCUCUCUGCCGCAACCCUGAUUAUUGAUAGCAAUCCUAGCAAUGGUCUGCGCAAGUUCUUGCAGAAGCACUGUGAGGGUGAAACAUUAGCUGUUGCUGAUUCUAAGCUUGGAAAUGCUAUAAAGGAAAAGCUGGUCAGUGGUGCUCCUUAUCUUUUUAUAUGUUUGUAGAGUGAGUGGCUAUUAUUGCCAUAAUUUGACUGGGCCAAGGGAUGGGCCGAGAGUAACAUGGGCUGAAGGAAAUUAUCGUAAUGGUCUGCGAAUCAGCUUCUGUGCGAACGCGUCAAGGGCCGGGAUGACCAUUUAUCUAGUAAGGAUAGUUUAAAUAUAGGAAGUUCGAGAUUGUAUCGUAAUCAGCUAGGGUUAGUUAAAAAAGAUCAAGUCUCCGGUCUAUAAAUAUGUAUCGUGAGAUUCAAUAAAUCAUUCAUUCACAACAAACUCUCGGCGCAUCGCCACCCCUUCCCCGAGGGCUUUCUCCAUGUAAUCGACAUGCUGCUCCGAUCAUGUUCCGCAUGAUCGGAGCAGCGUUACGUUUAUCUGCUUAUCUUUGUGUUUCUCGUACUGAAACGUUGUUGAUAGCGAGCAACACUAGUUAUCUUAAACGAUUAUGAUAUUGUAUUGGUUUUGAUUAGUACAUCCAUGAUCUGCUUGCUGUUCGUAAUCGUUUAGCUGCCCUUGUACAUGAUCCUAGGUAUAAGGGCAGCACCUUGCUCUGUUCUUGCUUAGUAGAUCUAAUUUGUUAUGGUAGUUCUUUGUGCUACAAGGAAUUGGUUUAGUAUCCAUAUGAUUAGGCCCUUCAAACAGGUUAAAUGUUCCGGCUGCAUGAUUGGUGCUUUAUGGUAAUCUAAUGAGGGAUUGUUCCGGGAAUCGACUUGUUAGUUGGUUUUUAGACCUCUUUUUUUGGGUUAGCGUAUUGUUAUCUUUCAUGUUCGUUAGGCUUAACCACGCGUAGGAUGUUCCGGUUAUACGGUGAAAACCUUUACCGUCGCAGAUUGGAUUAGCUUGGUAAUUACAGAGCAUGUUUUUAUCUUUUCUAUCGGAUUCGUACAAAACGUUUAAAUAUUAAUCGAUCCUAUCUGUUAAACGGGGCAAUCGGUUUCUUUUAGCCGAUUCUGAGAGGUACCCAAAGGUCCAACCUGGCACGAAGAUAGGUCCGACCUAGUACAGUGACUCCGUCGGCUUCUUUAGCUGAUCUCGGGAGUCGUUGUAAGGGCCGAUCACGGCUCGGACUAAUGUUUGACAUGGCUGUGUAUGCAGGAAAAUAACUGACAAAAAUUUCUACACCUUCCUGAUCAGGUAUAGGUCAGGUGGCACGCCUAGCACUUCCUCAUGUCAGGACGUGUGCCGGACUUCUAGGCCGUUGAUCGAGGGAUCGGGACCCACCAGCAGUCUCGGAAGCCUCCCGGCUCCUCGUGUUGCCUGUCGCUGCUCGCCGGUGGGUUUUAACCGACAACACAUUCUGGCAUGCCUGGUGGGACCUCAUCGACUUCAUCAACUACAUCGACUACUUCCUUCGACUACAUCGACUACAAUCGGCUGCAUCAUUUUCUUCGGCUUCAUCAACUUCCGUUGUCAAGAUGCCGAACGAGAACCCGAUUACUUUUGAAGAGUUGUCUGAUGAGCACAAGCAGAGGUAUAAUGAAAUAAAAGCUGCUUUUGAAGCCGAUCUCAUCGGCUCAUUUGAAAGAACCCGUCACAACGGCAUCAGAUGGAAGGGAUUUUCAUCUGAAGGAGCACUCAACGAAGUGGAUCUAUCUACUCCUACGGAAGAACGCACGCGAGCUCUCCGCCAGGAAGUUAACUAUAUGGUGGCUCACUCAUUACAUCGACAUUCUGAGAGUUUGGUGAACACCCUUGAGCGCGUCGCGGUACGUGUGGUGCAGGAAAUUAUGAAAUACCAGUACUCUCCAACAGGACCUGCUUUAGGGAGCCACAAAGGGGAGUUGCCUUCUCUAGCCAGACCACCAGUGCCCUAUGCAUUUGCAGCCCCAGAACAAUAUAAUUCUCCAGCAUUUGUUAUAUACAAGGUGCGAGGUGACCCUGCUGAUCACCAAUUCUUCAGUGAACCCCCCAAGGAGGUUCCACAUGGAUAUGUUUGUGCAUAUAUACCAGAUGGUGGUAACCCGACACAACCCACGCAGAGAAUAACUGGAGGAACAUCUGUAGUCGAUGCCGACAAACAGGCAUGGCUGACUACUUAUGCGACAGGGCCGAGUCAUGAAGGUAUGCACUCGGCCCCAGGAAUUCACACAGUAGAUCAGAUUGGUGCCAUUUUGAGAGAUCAAUUUGGCAUUCUCCCAAGAAGGCGAGCGAUCGGCUACACCAAGCCGUAUCCAAGUGAGUAUGACUUGAUUCCCCUGCCACCCAAGUAUCGGCUAUCUGAGUUCACCAAGUUCAGCGGAGCAGAAGGAUCUAGCUCCAUAGAACACGUGAGCCGAUAUCUGCGCAGCUUGGGAUGAUUUCGGUGUCGGAUCCGUUGCGGGUGAGGUUUUUCUCGCAGUCUCUCACAGGGCCGGCUUUUGGAUGGUACACAUCGUUGGGUCCUGAUUCUAUCCGCACCUGGAAGCAGCUAGAGGAACAGUUCCAUAUACAAUAUCAUUUAGAAGCUGCAGAAGCUGGGAUUGCUGAUUUGGCACAGGUCUGCCAGAAGCGGGGAGAAACAGUGGCGGAGUACAUCCAGCAUUUCAGAGAAGUCAAGAACCGGUGCUACUCGAUUCGAAUUUUAGAAAAAGAGGCAGUUGAAUUGGCGUCUUUGGGACUAGUAAAACCAAUCAGAGAUCUGGUUUUCCAGCUAGAAUUCAACUCUUUGGUUCAUCUGGUACAGAAGAUGACAGCAUACGAGCAACGCCACCCAGAGUUAUACCAAGACAAGUUCAAACGUCAAGUAGUAAUGGUUGACGCUGAAGACUCUGAAGAUUCUGAUGAUGACCAAGAGAUAGCAGUUGUAGAGUGGGCACGGGGGGCAAAACCCGUGUCCUGCAAGUGGGUGAAACAACAAGGGCCUUCGAAAGGAUUUGACUUUGACGUAAGCAAAGUCGAACAAAUAUUCGACUUGCUCUUGAAGGAGAAACAAUUGAAACUCCCUGAAGGUUGCAAGAUCCCAACAGCUCAGGAGCUCCAGGGAAGAUCAUACUGCAAGUGGCAUAACUCUUUCACCCACAGUACUAGUGACUGCAAAGAACUCCGGCGAGAGAUACAAUCGGCUAUUGAGCAAGGCCAAUUAAUCUUGGGGCAAUACGCCAUGAAGGUUGAUACUCAACCAUUCCCAAAUGUAAACAUGGUGGAAGGGUACGACCGGUCAACACAUCAUCAGCUGGAUUUUACGUUCGGAAUUAACAUGGCAGGACGCACAUCACGACAUCAAGAGGCCGAUUCCUGCGAUCGGCCCCAAAAAGAAGAAAGGGACUAUAUCACCGAAGAGCAGGUGAGGCACGUCAGGAACCAGCGACCGGUUUCCUCUCAUCUUCUGAGAAGGUACCAGUAUCACUAUCAACAGCAUCUCCAACGCGAAACUGAAGAGGAAGAAUACGAGCGGCGCACUGGGAAACGCCUCAGGAAGCGAGAGGAUACGCGAGAUCAUUGGUAUUGCCCGUUCUUCAAAUACUGUUGGGAUUCUGGUAUUGUCGGUGUUUAACCGGCUGCCCACCGAGGGAUAUACCCAAGGUGGUAAGUUUUGGGUGAGGCGACGCUGAGAUCAGAAACUCGAAGGUGCAAAGAACACAAGACUUUAGACAGGUUCAGGCUGCACGGAGCGUAACACCCUACGUCCUGUAUGGUGGUUUGUAUUCUCUUUGGUGUAGAUUGACCUAAUGAUCUCCUUCUUUUAGGGGGGUCCCUGACCUCCCUUAUAUAUCCGAGAGGCCGGAGUUACAAAGAUGCUAACCAACCCCCGUCGAGGGAUCAUACCAGAACACAUCUCGAGAAGAUCCUCUCCGUGUUGGUUAGCUCUAUCUCCUAUUUAAACGGGAUAAACAAGAGAUAAAUAAAAUGAAUAAGAGAUAAGACGGACUUAAUCUCUUAAACUACGUGAUGUGCCCAACCCGGUGGCCCGGGUCUGACAAGCCCCCGAGCUCUUCGUAGCUGAGCACUGCAGGCUUAUCGAGUACUUUCGAAGCAGUCUUCGACUUCUUCUGAAGCUUCGUCUUGAAGUCCUUCUUCGAGUACUUGUUUGGCUGCAUCGAAGCUAUGAGGUGCUCAUGCCCCGAAUUUCUGUUAUGGCGUGCGAUUUAAAAAUCGCACUCCAUAUGGAGUAGCCCCCGAGCCUUAGUUUGAAUCGGAGAAUCAGGCUAAGGGUCCCAUUUGUCUGUGACCCUACUUAUCCUUCAAAAGAUUUGAAAAAAUAAGUAGUCGAUGCCACGUAUCCCGCAGCCCCCGCGUCAUGCGCGACAAGAAGUCGAUUUAUAUAUGUAUAUGUUUGCACGUGACACUGGCCAUCGUGGAAGUAAGAAGGCAUGUACAACCCGAGUCAUGUGGCACAUGGCCUCCAAAUUGAUUCGGGGAAAGAAGAUCUUCUGAGCCCCCGGGGAAUUAGCGAUCACCGGGCCCCGACUUAAGGGUAGAACUUGCGCAGGUUCUGAACGUUCCAGGAGUUCGGGACAUCCUGACCCUCAGGGUAUUGUAGUCGAUAAGACUCUGGCCUUGUGACCUGCUUGACGACGAACGGGCCAUCCCACCUUGAAUUGAGCUUGUGUAGGCCAGACUCGUCCUGAAUACGACACAAGACCAAAUCACCGACGUUGAAUGACCGUUCCCUGACGUUGCGAUCAUGGUAUCGCCGGAUCCCCUGCAGGUACCGGGCUGACUGAACAAGGGCGGUACAGCGAGCUUCUUCCACAGAAUCGAGCUCUAACUGCCGCGCCUCGUCCGCCUCGCCUUCAUUGUACAUUUCGACCCUUGGAGACUUCCACAUGAUAUCGGCUGGUAGGAUAGCUUCGGAUCCAUACACGAGGAAAAAAGGUGUUUGUCCUGUGGCUUUGGACGGCUAAGUCCGAAGCCCCCAGAUGACAUGUGGCAGCUCAUGCACCCAUUUGCCUCCCUUCUUGCUAUUUGCAUCGUAAAGUCUCUUCUUGAGGCCGUCAGUGAUCAAGCCGUUCGCCCUUUCGACUUGUCCGUUGGCCCUUGGGUGUGCAACCGAGACAUAUUUAACUUCAAUGCAAGCAUUCUCGCAGAACUCCCAGAACUGGUUCACCGUGAAGUUUGAUCCCAGGUCUGUGAUGAUGGAGUUGGGGAAGCCGAACCGAUGCAGAAUAUCUGAUAUGAAAUCGACGACCCGAUCUGGUGUGAGCUUGGCUAUCGGCUUGUACUCGAUCCACUUAGUAAACUUGUCGAUAGCCACCAGGACAAGGGUAAAACCGCCUGGUGCCGUUGUGAAGGGCCCGAUCAUGUCAAGACUCCAACAGGCAAAAGGGCAGGAUGGCAGUAUGGUGAUGAGGCUGUGAGCUGGAACAUGCGUCUGUUUGCCGAAGAAUUGACAAUUUUGGCAUCUGCGCACGAGAUCCUCCGCGUCGGUCACUGCGGUAGGCCACCAGAAACCGGCUCUGUACGCUUUUCCCACCAGUGUUCUCGAAGCCGCAUGGUUGCCGCAGAUGCCAUCGUGGAUCUCCCGCAGUAUGUCGUAGCCAUCGUCCUUUGUGACGCACUUCAUGAGAACCCCUGACCGAGCGCCUCGCCGAUAGAGCUUGCCGUCGACCAGGACGAAACCCUUGCUUCUUUGCAAGAUGCGAGCUGCUUCGGUGCUCCUAGCGUCGAUUCCUGCUGGUAAUCGUUGAUCUCGAAUGAAGUCGAUAAAAGCCCCUCGCCAGUCCUCCUCCAGCACCAUAACCUCUCGAUCGGGUUGUUGGGGACCCGCGUCGAUGGCUACCUGCGGAGAAGAUUUGAUGGAUGGCUGUUUGAGCUCCUGGACAAAGACUCCCGGCGGGACCUGGGCACGCGUGGACCCCAGUUUGGACAGAAUGUCCGCGCCAACGUUGUGCUCCCGCAGUACAUGAUGAACCUCCAGGCCGGAGAACUUGCUUUCCAACUUGCGCACUUCCUGCACAUAAGCAUCCAUUGUCUCCUUAUUGCAGUCCCAUUCCUUGUUGACCUACUGAACAACAAGAAGAGAGUCGCCAUAUACAAGUAUUCGCUUGAUCCCUAGUGAUAUCGCCAAACGAAGCCCGUGAAGCAAAGCUUCAUACUCGGCUUCAUUGUUGGAUACCGCCCACAGGAUCUGAAGGACAUAUUUCAACUGCUCACCUCGGGGAGAAAUAAGCAGAACCCCAGCACCGCCGCCGUCGAGCUUGAGGGACCCAUCAAAAUACAUGGUCCAGUGCUCUGGCCUGUCCACUGGAGUUGGGACUUGAUUCUCCCUCCAUUCAGCCAUAAAGUCGACUAGAGCCUGUGACUUGAUUGCAGUGCGUGGCUUGAAGUCUAUUGACAAAGCCCCCAGUUCCACUGCCCACUUGGAUAUGCGCCCCGUGGCAUCUUGAUUAUGAAGAAUAUCCGCCAGCGGGAAGUCCGUGAUCACAGUGAUCUUGUACUCAUCGAAGUAAUGGCGCAGCUUUCUUGAUGUAAUUAAGAUUGCAUACAAAAGCUUUUGAACAGUAGGAUACCGUACCUUGGAUUCGGAGAGGACCUCGCUGACGAAGUAGACAGGCCUCUGCACUCCAAACGCAUGGCCUUCUUCGCCUCGCUCGACUACAAUAGCACUGCUGACGACAUGAGUUGUUGCCGCGAUGUAAAGUAGUAGAUCCUCCUCUGGCAACGGUGCUGUGAGGAUUGGAGGUGACUGCAGAUGAUGUUUCAGAUCUUGCAAGGCCCGCUCAGCCUCCUCCGUCCAUUGGUACUUAUCCUGGCGUUUCAGGAGCUUGAAGAAAGGUAGUCCUCUCUCCCCGAGCCGGGAGAUGAACCUGUUCAGAGCCGCUAUACAACCUGUUAACUUUUGCACAUUCUUGAUUGUGGCCGGAGCCUCCAUAUCAGUGAUGGCCGUGAUCUUCACAGGGUUGGCUUCAAUGCCCCGAUUGCUGACGAUGAACCCGAGCAAUUUUCCUGAAGGUACUCCAAAGACGCACUUGGUGGGAUUGAGUUUCCAACGAAAUCUGCGCAGACUGCUGAAUAUUUCCUCCAAAUCUGCGAUCAAGUUAUCGGAAUCCCUAGUCUUGAUGACCACGUCAUCCACAUAGGCCUCAACAUUCCGGUGCAGCUGAUCCACGAAACACAUCUGGAUCGCACGCUGGUAUGUUGCUCCUGCGUUCUUCAACCCGAAAGACAUUGUUUUGUAGGCGUAAGUCCCCUACGGGGUGAUGAAUGCAGUCUUGAUUUGGUCCUCCUCCUUGAAGGCGAUCUGAUGAUAUCCUGAGUAACAAUCAAGAAAACAAAGAAGGACACAACCAGCCGUCGAAUCGACAACUUGGUCAUUGCGCGGCAGCCCAAAAUGAUCUUUUGGGCAAUGCUUGUUGAGAUCGGUGUAGUCGACACACAUUCUCCAUUCAUUGUUCUUUUUCUUUACAAGGACGGGAUUCGCUACCCACUCUGAAUGGAUUACUUCUUUAAUGAAUCCAGCCGCGAGAAGUUUAGCGAUCUCCCAUUUAAUGGCCUCACGCUUGUCGUGGGCAAACCUCCGCAGGCGUUGCUUCUUAGGCGUAGCCUUCGGAUGUACAUUCAAAGCAUGCUCGAUCAACUCCCUAGGCACCCCUGGCAUAUCCGCUGGUUUCCAUGCGAAUAUGUCUCGGUUAGCCUGAAGAAAACUGACGAGCGCGAGUUCCUAUUUGUCACCCAAGCCCGCACCGAUGACGGCGGUCUUAGAUGAAUCUCCCUCCUGGAGCUGGAUCGUCUUGAGGGCCACGUCAUCAGUCGACUGGAUGCUCGACUUGUUGGCCUUCUUGGAAGGAAUCUCCAGCCCGGUCUGGGAGAGCUGCUGCGCGGCCGCGAGUACUUCUCCCGAAGCAUCUGGCACGCGAGUAGUCGAAGCGUAUUGGAUCGCCUCCUGAUUGCAGUCGUACGACUUCUUCAAGUCGCCGCGAAGGGUGAGUACUCCACCGAGUCCUGGCAUCUUAAGAAGCAGAUAGACAUAAUGCGGCACUGCCAUAAACUUGGCAAGUGCCGGUCGACUCAGUAUUGCAUGGUAAGAAGAGUCAAAAGUAGCCACUUCGAACUUGAGAAUUCAGUACGAUAAUUCUCCCGCGUGCCGAAGGUGACUGGGAGAACCACCGUACCAAGCGGGUGCGCCGCAUUACCUGGAACGAUGCUGUAAAAGGGGGACUUGCUGGGAACCAGCAUAUCCUUGAAAUCCAGGCCCAUCUUCUUCAAAGUGCUGACGAAGAUGAGAUUGAGCCCGCUCCCGCCAUCGAUGAGGACCUUGGUAAGCUUGACCUCCGCCACCACAGGAUCCAGGACCAAGGGGAACUUACCAGGCUCGGAAAAGCUCGUCCACUGGUCAUCACGAGAGAACGAGAUGGGGACCUCCGACCAAUGAAGUGGUCGUGGUACCGCCGGCUCGAUGGACAAAAUCUCUCGGAGGAGCAGCUUCUGAUCCCGCCUGGAACAGAAAUCCUCACCCCCCCGAAGAUGACGUUGACCACCUUGGACGCAUCCUGAAAUUUCGGGUUGCGCCCGUGAUCCUCCUGAUCAUCAUCCUCGGAUUCUUUGUAAGCAGACUUCUUGUUCUUCUUGCCGCCACCAGAGUUGCUGAACGUCCUCCGAAGGUGGUAGCAGUCGAUAGCGGCAUGGUUGGCGCCCGGGUGCCACGGGCACUUCUUCUGCAGGAGCUUCUCGAACUCCUCCUGAGUUGUUGACUUCUUGCCUCGUGAAAGACGAUCGAUAGCCGCGAUGACAUCAUCUGGCUUUCGUUUCCGGGGUGGACCCGAAAAGUCCCGCUGGCCUUUGUCGCUGCGGUUGUCGUUUGGGCGCCGCAGAUUGCUAUCUUGACGCCGCGGGAACCGCUCCCGCAUCUUCUCCUCCUGCUCGGACCAAUCGUACAUCAUAUCACGAAGGCCCGCAACAGUUUUCAGCCUGUUCCGCCCGAAGUCUCUGUAUAUGCCCGGGUCGGUGAUGCCGUUGUAGAAGCAGUCGAUGAUGUCCUCCUCCGAGAUGUUCGCGAUGGUGGCGCGGACGUCGAAGAAGCGACGCGUGUAGGACCGCAGAAGUUCGCUACGUUCUUGCUUGCACUGGGCAAGAUCGUGUCGAGUACCUGCUCGGGGAAUCGCUCCCUGGAAAUUGUCGAUGAAGACCUUCUUAAGUCGUUCCCAGGAGUCGAUGGAGUUGCUGCCGAGGCUCUCCAGCCAAGUGAGCGGUGCAGGGUCCAAAGCCAUCGGGAAGUAGACGACUUUGGUGACAUUCGAGCCCCCCGCGACCUCAAUGGCCGUGGAGUAGCAGCGGAGCCACUGCUGGGGAGCCUGCUUGCCGUCGUACUUGGUGAUGCCGAUCGGCUUGAAGCCCUCUGGGUACUUGUAGCUGCUGAAACGAGCAGAGAAAGCAGGAAAUCGAUCGCUACAGUCAGUACCUUCAGCUUCGACUUCCUCGCGGGUCUUGCGCCUGGAGGAGAUCACGGUGCGCGCAUCGCGACCUUCAUUGAUGUGCUGGCGCAAAUCCUCCGGAGGAGGUCAUCGACUAGCCUAUCGCAUAUGACCCCCUUGCGGUGGCUGUUGCCUCCCGCCAGGGGCCUGGCUCCCACGUGCGUUGUCAUUGCUGAUCUGGUGUUGAGGACGACCACCGGCCGAUCGACUGCGAGCCUGACUUCGACUCUCGUCCACGCGCUCUUCCCGGAUGAUAGACGCCGGAUUAUGUUGAUCCAGCUGGAUCCAAGCCCUCUGCGCGUAGAGGAGUGCGCGACGUACCUCCAGGUCGUGGCUGCGCUCGAGGAUGGCCGUGACUCUGGCGAUGUUGGCCACCGGAGUCCUGAAGCCCCGCUCGCUUGCGGCAGCAAACUCAAGGUCGAGCUCGCGAUGCAUAGAUCGCCUUCGCUCGUUGGCUCUCCUCCGCCGGAUUGUGCGGGCCCUGUUCCUGGCCCUCCGCGCCUCACGAUCAGCAUCGCUCUCGUUACCGGCGUUGGCCGUGAUCUCAUCUUUAGAGAUCGCUUCAAAGUUUUCGAUUGGAAAAUCCCCACCGUCCUCGCCUCCUUCGGCCAUUAGCACCUGGCGGGAGGAAAGCUCAUGAGAACUUUCGUCGACUAACUCAGUCGACCCCUCCGCCGCGGUUGCCAAUGGCCUGCCCUCUUGGAAGGGCAAUGGCUCGAGGUGAGCCACCAGCCGACUCUCUGCCUCGAGUAGGUUGGAGAGCAUCAUGCCCCUCCAAUGCACAAUGUGCCCCUUCGGCAAGGAGGUGAUCACCAAAUCACCGGGACCAGAACAUCCCGAAGCCCCCCGACACGCGGUGACUUCAGGAUUUCCAUCCCGAAGUAGCAGGUCCAGAUCCUUCUCUAACAUGGAGAGGGAUCCAGAUGCGUUGGCCUCCUGAAGAUCAGUGGCCGGUUCGCACAAGCCGGGUUGAGUCCGACCAUGCGAAUCCCUAGAUUGGAACAAGUCCAAACCAGGGGAAUUUGUCGCGACACCAGAAGAAGUCGAGCUUGGAACAGGUUCCAUCUCGACCUGUGCCGCGGAAGCAUGGAGCGACGAGUUGUCGAGCUCGUUGACGAACUUGUCGAGGCCGCUGCGAGGAUCCGCAGCGACGGUUUUCGGCGUCAUGUCGACGAGGAAUCGCCGAAAGUUGCCCGCACCAUCUGCGAUGCAAACCCACGAGCCAAAAACGAACGUCGUACCCUGAGAGGGAACUGACCUGAUGAAAUUGAAAGAUGCCAUCGAGCUCGCCGGUGGAUAUUCGACGCGCUCCCCUAUCUGGCACGCCAGCUGUCAGUGUUUAACUGGCUGCCCACCGAGGGAUAUACCCAAGGUGGUAAGUUUUGGGUGAGGAGACGCCGAGAUCAGGAACUCGAAGGUGCAAAGAACACAAGACUUUAGACAGGUUCGGGCCGCACGGAGCGUAACACCCUACGUCCUGUAUGGUGGUUUGUAUUCUCUUUGGUGUAGAUUGACCUAAUGAUCUCCUUCUUUUAGGGGGGGUCCCUGACCUCCCUUAUAUAUCCGAGAGGCCGGAGUUACAAAGAUGCUAACCAACCCCCGUCGAGGGAUCAUACCAGAACACAUCUCGAGAAGAUCCUCUCCGUGUUGGUUAGCUCUAUCUCCUAUUUAAACGGGAUAAACAAGAGAUAAACAAAAUGAAUAAGAGAUAAGACGGACUUAAUCUCUUAAACUAUGUGAUGUGCCCAACCCGGUGGCCCCGGGUCUGACAGGUAUGAAACGACUACCCACUCUUGAGGAUUGCCCAGAGUGUAAGCCUCAGAAACAAGAUGCAAGGGGUGCCUUAGUUUUUUGGCGUUUAGGGCCAGUGCAACCCCGUCAUGAACAAGUCGAGACAUCACGCGCAGGGGGCAAUUCAGAAGAUGAGGAGGACAAGUAUCACCGACCACGCUGGUGCCCUGAUGGGCUUAACCGGUCCCAGAAGCGGAGGGUGCAGUGACUACGCAGCCUCGAAGAAGCCGAGGCCCAAUAUUUGGAAACACUAAGGAAGGCGCGACCGGAUCUGGCGGAGAAAGUUCACUACCCCCACAGAGCAGAGGCAAGUCCUUCCAAGAAGGUGUGGCAUCCCAAGAAGUCAAAAGCCGAUGUAAAGACAUCAGCUGAUGCACACAUGGUUUUUGUUCUUCCUGCAGAGUUUCAUGCACUAGGCCAUGAGGAGUUGUCAGUGGCUCAGCUUGAUUUGGGGCUGCGACCAGUCAUAUUUGAGGAGCCCCGAGAGAAGAAUUACAGGCACCUGAAGGCUUUAUAUCUCAAGGGUUACAUAAACGGCCAAUCUGUCAGCAGGAUGCUAGUCGAUACAGGAGCAGCGGUUAACAUAAUGCCGUACUCAGUGCUGCGUAAGUUGGGGCAUUUUGUUGGGGAUUUGAUCAAAACUAACAUCACGUUAAGUGACUUCAACGGACAAAUAUCAGAAGCGCAAGGAGUCCUCAGCGUGGAUUUGACGGUAGAAGGCAAAACCGUCCCAACAUCGUCUUUUGUCGUCAACAGUAAGGGCUCGUACACCGUUCUGCUUGGGAGAGAUAGGAUCCAUGCCAAUUACUGUAUCCCUUCUACAAUGCACCAGUGUCUGAUUCAAUGGGAUGGAGAUGAAGUAGAAGUAGUCCACGCGGACGAUUCUGUUGAAGUUUCACAUGGCGCCAUGAGUGUCUGGGACGUGGAGGACCAGGAGCCGAUCUCAGGGAUUAGCUUGGAGGGCUGCGACCAUGUGGAAACUAAAAAAAAAA
rnacentral:lncRNA from 1 species